GGGUUGGCUAUUUUCAGCUGUUUUCGACCGAAUUCAGCUGAUUUUGCGUCAAUCCUUGUGAUAAAAUACAUUUAGAUGCCUCGGUUGGCCAAAAAAGUACAGAAAACUGAAACUCACUGACGGCAGGGCGCUCCGAUACGACGGCUCCUCCGGCUCAAGUUGCGGUUGGGUGUUUUGCUAUGGUCAACCUAUAGAGAAAAGAACAGUGAUUACAAUAGUGGAAAAAUU
rnacentral:lncRNA from 1 species